rnacentral:rRNA from 1 species
UACGGGGGGGGGCAAGCGUUGUUCGGAAUUACUGGGCGUAAAGGGCUCGUAGGCGGCCAAUUAAGUCAGACGUGAAAUCCCUCGGCUUAACCGGGGAACUGCGUCUGAUACUGGAUGGCUUGAAUCCGGGAGAGGGAUGCGGAAUUCCAGGUGUAGCGGUGAAAUGCGUAGAUAUCAGGAGGAACACCAGUGGCGAAGGCGGCUUUCUGGACGAUAACUGACGCUGAGACGCGAAAGCGUGGGGAGCAAACAGG